CUGCUUCGUUCCGAGGUCUUCGAAUGGUUUACGUUUCAAUCGCGUCAUGGUUCCAGUUGAUGAUGUGCUUAGUGUAUGAGGAAUGAGAUCACUGCUGGUUGAUGCGUGGGCUAACUGAAGAUCCAACUGAAGAUAAAAGCAACUUGGCCAGUCAAUAUUUGCUUCUAACCAAGAUCCAUACAUUGUUCUAAAUUUUUCUGUGUUCCGUUGGCUUUUCUUCCAUCUGUCAGUAGCAGCUCUUGUAAAUCUUCGGCAAAAUUCUUUCAAGGUGUCACGAUCUUCUUCUGAUAGGUUAAGGUUUGAUUUAGUUAGCACUAUUUCAAACAAAGCUUCGUGAUUUAAACUAGAUCCUUGAGAUUUUAGGAUAACAAACAAGUCCAAGUUCGUAAUAAGACUGUCCAUGGUUUAUGGUCGUGUAAGUUAGCGGUUAAGAAGCUCAAGAUGAACUAAAAUAUAAAAUGUACCCCUUACCUAUUUAUUGCUAGUACUAAUGAACACCACCAUUCUACUACAAAGAUAAUGUAAUAAAGAGGAUACAAUGGUAAUAAUGUAAAGGAUGUAAUGGUUUUAUUUUCAAUUUUCUACUUGUAACUGUUGUAUGUUUAUUAUUUAUUUGAUUAAAACAAUGAGAAAAAGCUAUUUCAGCAUGAAAAAAUAAGUUUUUUAUUUUUUAUUAAAUAAGUGCACACGGUAGAAAAGUUCACGUUAUGUCAAAAUAUCAUUAAUAAUUGGUACUUAAAUCAUCUGCAAGGAUAUUACGGUAUACCUUUAAUUUUUGAAAAAAAAAUCCGUUUUACUCGUACGCUCCAUACAUUUGCUUAGAACAAAAAUUCACUACGCGUAAGUUAUUGGUUCGAUCAAACUCAAAUUAAUUUUUUGUAGUCAAAAUAACGAGUAUAACCGUAUUAAAAUAAAAAAAUA